rnacentral:rRNA from 1 species
CAUGUAGGCGGUUUUUUAAGUCUGGAGUGAAAAUGCGGGGCUCAACCCCGUAUGGCUCUGGAUACUGGAAGACUUGAGUGCAGGAGAGGAAAGGGGAAUUCCCAGUGUAGCGGUGAAAUGCGUAGAUAUUAGGAGGAACAUCAGUGGCGAAGGCGGCUUACUGGACUGAAACUGACACUGAGGCACGAAAGCGUGGGGAGCAAACA